GACGAACGCUGGCGGCGUGCUUAACACAUGCAAGUCGAACGAUGAAGAAGAGAAACGCGAACUUCGGUUCAACUUUCACUUCGGAUUAGUGGCAGACGGGUGAGUAACGCGUGAGCAACCUACCUCUUACAAAGGGAUAGCCUCGGGAAACCGUGAUUAAUACCAUAUGACACAUUCAUAAGGCAUCUUAAGAAUGUUAAAGCUACGGCGGUAAGAGAUGGGCUCGCGUCCCAUUAGCUAGUUGGUGAGGUAACGGCCCACCAAGGCGACGAUGGGUAACCGGCCUGAGAGGGUGAACAGUCACAUUGGAACUGAGACACGGUCCAAACUCCUACGGGAGGCAGCAGUGGGGAAUAUUGCACAAUGGAGGGAACUCUGAUGCAGCGACGCCGCGUGAGCGAUGAAGGAAUUCGUUUCGUAAAGCUCUGUUCUAUGGGAAGAAAAGGACUGUACCAUAGGAGAAAGCCCCGGCUAAAUACGUG
rnacentral:rRNA from 1 species